rnacentral:rRNA from 1 species
CUCGUAGGCGGUUCGGUAAGUCGGGUGUGAAAACUCUGGGCUCAACCCAGAGCCGCCACCCGAUACUGCUGUGACUAGAGUGCGGUAGGGGAGCGGGGAAUUCCUGGUGUAGCGGUGAAAUGCGCAGAUAUCAGGAGGAACACCAGUGGCGAAGGCGCCGCUCUGGGCCGUGACUGACGCUGAGGAGCGAAAGCGUGGGUAGCAAACAGGAUUAGAUACCCUGGUAGUCCACGCCGUAAACGUUGGGCACUAGGUGUGGGUCUCAACCAACGAGAUCCGCGCCGUCGCUAACGCAUUAAGUGCCCCGCCUGGGGAGUACGGUCGCAAGACUAAA